GGGGGGGGGGGGGGGGGGGGGGGGGGGGGGGGGGGGGGGGGGGGGGGGGCUGGGUUGGUGGGGGGGGCGGGGGGCGGGGGGGUGGGUGAGAGGUGGGGAACGUGGCCUGGACGUGGGGAUGGCUUCAGGAACCUGGGGCUAAUACCGGAUAGGAGCGCCGGCUGGAUGGUGUGGGGUGGACAGUUGCGGCGGUUGGGGAUGGACUCGCGGCUUAUCAGCUUGUUGGUGGGGUAGUGGCUUACCAAGGCUUUGACGGGUAGCCGGCCUGAGAGGGUGACCGGCCACAUUGGGACUGAGAUACGGCCCAGACUCCUACGGGAGGCAGCAGUGGGGAAUAUUGCACAAUGGGCGGAAGCCUGAUGCAGCAACGCCGCGUGCGGGAUGACGGCCUUCGGGUUGUAAACCGCUUUCGCCUGUGACGAAGCGUGAGUGACGGUAAUGGGUAAAGAAGCACCGGCUAACUACGUG
rnacentral:rRNA from 1 species